UGAAGGGCCGCUUUCUAUACUGCAGUCGAGCGAGUGAACUAACUGAUCCCUUCCGGGUGAUGUUAGUGGAUCUAGCGGCGGAGGGGUGAGUAACACGUGGGCAACCUGCCUGUGAGACUGGGGUAACUUGUGGAAACGUGUGCUCAUACCGGAUGAGACUUUUCUCCUCAUGGGGAGAAAAUGAAAAAUGGCGUCUGCUCUAUCUUACACAUGGGCCCCCGGCGCACUAUCUAUUUGGUGAGGUAACGGCUCACCAAGGCGACAAUGCGUAUCCCACCUGAGAGGGUGAUCGGCCACACUGGGACUGAGACACGGCCCACACUCCUACAGGAGGCACCACUAUGGAAUCUUCUCCAAUGGACAAAAGUCUGACAGAGAAACGCCCCGUGAGUGAUGAAAGUUUUCUGAUUGUAAAACUCUGUUGUUAUGGAAAAACACGUACAAUAGUAACUGAUCGUACCUUGACGGUACCUAACCAGAAAGCCCCGGCUAACUACGUGCCAGCAGCCGCGGUAAUACGUAGGGGGCAAGCGUUGUCCGGAAUUAUUGGGCGUAAAGCGCGCGCAGGCGGUCCUUUAAGUCUGAUGUGAAAGCCCACGGCUUAACCGUGGAGGGUCAUUGGAAACUGGAGGACUUGAGUGCAGCAAGAGGAGAGUGGAAUUCCACGUGUAGCGGUGAAAUGCGUAGAGAUGUGGAGGAACACCAGUGGCGAAGGCGACUCUCUGGUCUGUAACUGACGCUGAGGCGCGAAAGCGUGGGUAGCGAACAGGAUUAGAUACCCUGGUAGUCCACGCCGUAAACGAUGAGUGCUAGGUGUUAGGGGGUUUCCGCCCCUUAGUGCUGAAGUUAACGCAUUAAGCACUCCGCCUGGGGAGUACGGCCGCAAGGCUGAAACUCAAAAGAAUUGACGGGGGCCCGCACAAGCGGUGGAGCAUGUGGUUUAAUUCGAAGCAACGCGAAGAACCUUACCAGGUCUUGACAUCCCAUUGACCGCUAUGGAGACAUAGUUUCCCCUUCGGGGGCAAUGGUGACAGGUGGUGCAUGGUUGUCGUCAGCUCGUGUCGUGAGAUGUUGGGUUAAGUCCCGCAACGAGCGCAACCCUUAUUCUUAGUUGCCAGCAUUUAGUUGGGCACUCUAAGGAGACUGCCGGUGACAAACCGGAGGAAGGUGGGGAUGACGUCAAAUCAUCAUGCCCCUUAUGACCUGGGCUACACACGUGCUACAAUGGAUGGUACAAAGGGCAGCGAAGCCGCGAGGUGAAGCAAAUCCCAUAAAACCAUUCUCAGUUCGGAUUGCAGGCUGCAACUCGCCUGCAUGAAGCCGGAAUCGCUAGUAAUCGCGGAUCAGCAUGCCGCGGUGAAUACGUUCCCGGGCCUUGUACACACCGCCCGUCACACCACGAGAGUUGGUAACACCCGAAGUCGGUGAGGUAACCUUUGGAGCCAGCCGCUAAGGUGA
rnacentral:rRNA from 1 species